rnacentral:lncRNA from 1 species
CUUUCAUUAUUUCCUUUCCGGUAAACCCCGAGACCGAUGAUGAUCCGGUGAUCGACUACUUCCCGGUCGAGGAUCCGUUUUGUCUGCACAGCAACCAGGCAAGCAAACCCCCUUGAUCAUUCAUAUAUCGCCCAUUUCUUUCUUCCUCAUGCUUGCAUUAGAAUUUUGCUAUUGUUGUAGUUAGCUCCUAUAUCUGAUGCAUAGCCUAAUUUUGACGAACUGCUACUUCGAGUACUGCACCUUUAAACUGCUUAGUAUAGGUGGAGCAAUCAUCCCCUUUGACCCCUUAGUCCAGUUGCCCCGCUUUAUUAUCAAGUCUUAAUCCCUGAUCGACGAGCCAAGAUCCGACACAUCACUCACACCCCCCUUAGUUGAACGACACUACAGAGCUACUAUCGGGUACCUAGGGUGACACCUCGCGAAGUAUUCAUGAUGAUAUCUUUGUAGGGCAGUUACUCGGUCAUGGUUAUCGAGGGUGAUUCCUCCUUCAGCACUCCCGGCGACGACUCUGUCGUGCAACCCGUCAAGUGUGUGACCCUCGAGGGUGAUUCCUCUAAGUCCACCUUGACGGUUACAUCGUUCGGGAUCCAACGAGGCUGAUACCUCGAAUCCCGCUGAUGUUACAACAACACAGUUACCCGACCAUGUUACUGGAUCUUUGACGAAUAAUGUUAGGCGGGUGGAUUCCCACGUGGAUGUGUCGAUGAGUUAAUUAAAAUGUUAAUGGAUUUGGAUAUUUGAUCUGGAUUGGUGGGAGACCUUUUCGCACUAACCGGCUACGCGGGAGAAGUUAUGGGUACUCGACGUCGUGGUAUCAGUCCAAGCUUUUUAGACGUCAGCAAUCGAGCGGCGCGCGCCCGAGUGGUCCCGAGAUGCAUCGCGCUUGUAUUAAGGGGUCCUAGGACUGACAUCGGCCGCCCAUGCAUCAUGCAGGAGCGCAGAGGGCAAGUGGGCCCAGGAACCCUUUAUGCUUAGGAUUUAGACCGGCGGACUGGCCUCUCUGUUGAGUCUAGGUGGGGCUGCGACGUGUCGAUAUUCCGAGGCCGGGCAUGAUCCAGAAAAGUGUGUCCGGCCAGAGUGUUAUCGAGCGUGACGGGAAACUUGUUGCACCCCUACAGGGAUGAAAAUUAAAUAUUCGGAUAGCCGUGUCGACGGUUACAUGACGACUUGGAGUUGUGCACUGAUGUUAUACAACUACAACUGUUACUUAACUGGAAUAGUUGCUCCGGGAUUACUUCCUCGCAGGGAGUCGAGGGAGAAUCUCGGGGCAUGACCUCAUAUUAAUAUUCCUGCAACAAUAUGACUUUUAGUUGUGUUACCUGUUCUACUCUUGUCUACUGGUGCAAGACCCUUGAAGAUGCUAGUCUUUGAUAGCACUAGGCCUUCUCUCUCUUUCUCGCAUUGUUGUAGUCAGUCCACAUAUAAACCCCUUCCUUUGAUAUUGUUGCAUACUUAGCAUAGUUUUGAUGUCAGUCUUGCGAGUACUUUGGAUGAGUACUCACCGUUGUUUUGCUCCCCUUUUUUCCCCGUGAUCCGUUGUUGCGACCAGAUGAUGGAGCCCAGGAGAUGGAGUAUCCCGCCGACGACGACUGCUACCCCGACGGUGUUGACUGCUACGUGGAGGCCGCUGAAGACCAGGAUUAGUUAGGAGGCUCCCAGGCAGGAGGCCUCGCUUCGUUCGAUCAUUGUAUCUUUUGUGCUAGCCUUCUCUAAGGCAUCCCAUGUUUAAUGUAUGUACUCAGAUAUUUGUUGCUUCCGCUGACUCGUGUAUUUAUCGAGCUUCUGUAUUCUAGCCCUCGAGGCCCCUGGUUUGUAAUUGGAAGCUUAUAUGUUUUAUUUUGUGUCUAGAGUUGUGUUGUGAUAUCUUUCGUAAGUCCUUGAGCUUGGUCAUACGCAUUUGCGUGUAUGAUUAGUGUACGAUCAAAUCGAGGGCGUCACACUCAACCAGGUAGUAAUAAAGAAUCUGAAAAUGAUGUGGAAAUAGAAACUAUUGAAGAUCUUGAUAACCCACAUCCUAGAAAUAAACGUUAUGAGAAAAAA